CUUGGUGAUUAUUUGCCGGAGGCACCACCCGUUCCCAUCCCGAACACGGCCGUUAAGCUCCGAACAGCCAAUGGUAGUAGGGCACUAUGCCCCGCGAGAGUAGGUCAUCGCCAAGU
rnacentral:rRNA from 1 species